UCUUAUCAAUGAGGCAGAUCAUGGGUUCUUAUUGUAAUAGUGUAUAAUGUUGGUUACAACUGUGGACUCCCUGGCUCUGUCUCAAAUCUAUUGAUUC
rnacentral:pre_miRNA from 1 species